rnacentral:rRNA from 1 species
AUUGAACGCUGGCGGCAUGCCUUACACAUGCAAGUCGAACGGCAGCACGGGUGCUUGCACCUGGUGGCGAGUGGCGGACGGGCGAGUAAUACAUCGGAACAUGUCCGGUAGGGGGGGAUAGCCCAGCGAAAGCCGGAUUAAUAACGCAUACGAACUACGGAUGAAAGCGGGGGACCGACGGGCCUCGCGCUAGCGGGUGGGCCGAUGGCUGAUUAGCUAGUUGGUGGGGGAAAGGCCGACCAAGGCGACGAUCAGUAGAUGGUCUGAGGGGACGACCAGCCACACUGGGACUGAGACACCGCCCCGACUCCUACGGGAGGCAGCAGGGGGGAAUUUUUGACCAUGGGCGGAAGCCUGAUCCAGGACAGCCGCGUGUGGUAAGAAGGCCUUCCGGUUGUUAAGCACUUUUUUCCGGGAAGAAAACCUUGGAGCUAAAACAGCCGGGGGAUGACGGUACCGGAAGGAUUAGCCCCGGCUAACUACGUU